rnacentral:lncRNA from 1 species
GAAGAUGGGGAAGAGACCAGAUGCCCACGGACUAAUUUCAAGUGGAAAUGGAUUACGGUUACGAUGCAGCUAUUCUGAGGAAUGCUAUGAUGCUUCAAGGAGACCCUCAGCAGAUGCAGUCUAUUCACCUGCAGAAACCUCCAGAAUCAGAAGCCAGAUACAUUUCAGUUAUUUCAAAUUAUGAUUCUAUAAGAUGACCUGAACUUAUUACAUUAAAAGUUUGGUUUUCCCCUG